rnacentral:rRNA from 1 species
GAGUUUGAUCAUGGCUCAGAUUGAACGCUGGCGGCAGGCCUAACACAUGCAAGUCGAACGGUAACAGGAAACAGCUUGCUGUUUCGCUGACGAGUGGCGGACGGGUGAGUAAUGUCUGGGAAACUGCCUGAUGGAGGGGGAUAACUACUGGAAACGGUAGCUAAUACCGCAUAACGUCGCAAGACCAAAGAGGGGGACCUUCGGGCCUCUUGCCAUCAGAUGUGCCCAGAUGGGAUUAGCUAGUAGGUGGGGUAACGGCUCACCUAGGCGACGAUCCCUAGCUGGUCUGAGAGGAUGACCAGCCACACUGGAACUGGGACACGGUCCAGACUCCUACGGGAGGCAGCAGUGGGGAAUAUUGCACAAUGGGCGCAAGCCUGAUGCAGCCAUGCCGCGUGUAUGAAGAAGGCCUUCGGGUUGUAAAGUACUUUCAGCGGGGAGGAAGGGAGUAAAGUUAAUACCUUUGCUCAUUGACGUUACCCGCAGAAGAAGCACCGGCUAACUCCGUGCCAGCAGCCGCGGUAAUACGGAGGGUGCAAGCGUUAAUCGGAAUUACUGGGCGUAAAGCGCACGCAGGCGGUUUGUUAAGUCAGAUGUGAAAUCCCCGGGCUCAACCUGGGAACUGCAUCUGAUACUGGCAAGCUUGAGUCUCGUAGAGGGGGGUAGAAUUCCAGGUGUAGCGGUGAAAUGCGUAGAGAUCAGGAGGAAUACCGGUGGCGAAGGCGGCCCCCUGGACGAAGACUGACGCUCAGGUGCGAAAGCGUGGGGAGCAAACAGGAUUAGAUACCCUGGUAGUCCACGCCGUAAACGAUGUCGACUUGGAGGUUGUGCCCUUGAGGCGUGGCUUCCGGAGCUAACGCGUUAAGUCGACCGCCUGGGGAGUACGGCCGCAAGGUUAAAACUCAAAUGAAUUGACGGGGGCCCGCACAAGCGGUGGAGCAUGUGGUUUAAUUCGAUGCAACGCGAAGAACCUUACCUGGUCUUGACAUCCACGGAAGUUUUCAGAGAUGAGAAUGUGCCUUCGGGAACCGUGAGACAGGUGCUGCAUGGCUGUCGUCAGCUCGUGUUGUGAAAUGUUGGGUUAAGUCCCGCAACGAGCGCAACCCUUAUCCUUUGUUGUCAGCGGUCCGGCCGGGAACUCAAAGGAGACUGCCAGUGAUAAACUGGAGGAAGGUGGGGAUGACGUCAAGUCAUCAUGGCCCUUACGACCAGGGCUACACACGUGCUACAAUGGCGCAUACAAAGAGAAGCGACCUCGCGAGAGCAAGCGGACCUCAUAAAGUGCGUCGUAGUCCGGAUUGGAGUCUGCAACUCGACUCCAUGAAGUCGGAAUCGCUAGUAAUCGUGGAUCAGAAUGCCACGGUGAAUACGUUCCCGGGCCUUGUACACACCGCCCGUCACACCAUGGGAGUGGGUUGCAAAAGAAGUAGGUAGCUUAACCUUCGGGAGGGCGCUCACCACUUUGUGAUUCAUGACUGGGGUGAAGUCGUAACAAGGUAACCGUAGGGGAACCUGCGGUUG